UGAUAGCUGUGAAGCGUGAGGUUGUCGGUUCCCAGUAAUGGAGAUCGGGUUUUCCGUGGAGCGAAUGUCAAGUUAGAAAACUGACGGCAA
ncrna:unclassified sequences S10-Clostridia ribosomal protein leader